AGAGAAUUGUAUAUCGUCUUCCUUACAUGCUAUCUUGCAAAGAAAAUUACACUGGUCAAGUAAUCGGAAAAAGAAAGAGAAGCUACUCCAUUUUAUGUGGCACUUCUUUUCUUUUUAGCAUGUUUAAAAUAGAACAACGCCUUUCCAUUAUUGAAAAUAUUUUAAUUAUAAUUUCCCAUUUUACCUUUGAUGACAUGCUUUUAUAGCCACA
rnacentral:misc_RNA from 1 species